UACGUAGGUGGCAAGCGUUGUUCGGAAUUAUUGGGCGUAAAGGGCGCGUAGGCGGUUUGUUAAGUCAGCUGUGAAAGCCCGGGGCUCAACCCCGGAGAGUCGGCUGAUACUGGCAAACUUGAGUACGGAAGAGGGUCGCAGAAUUCCCGGUGUAGAGGUGAAAUGCGUAGAGAUCGGGAAGAACAUCGGUGGCGAAAGCGCUCUACUGGACCGCAACUGACACUCAGGGACGAAAGCUAGGGGAGCGAAUGGG
rnacentral:rRNA from 1 species